GACGAACGCUGGCGGCGUGCCUAAUACAUGCAAGUAGAACGCUGAAGAGAGGAGCUUGCUCUUCUUGGAUGAGUUGCGAACGGGUGAGUAACGCGUAGGUAACCUGCCUUGUAGCGGGGGAUAACUAUUGGAAACGAUAGCUAAUACCGCAUAACAAUGGAUGACACAUGUCAUUUAUUUGAAAGGGGCAAUUGCUCCACUACAAGAUGGACCUGCGUUGUAUUAGCUAGUAGGUGAGGUAAUGGCUCACCUAGGCGACGAUACAUAGCCGACCUGAGAGGGUGAGCGGCCCCACUGGGACGGGGACACGGCCCAGACUCCUACAGGAGGCAGCAGUAGGGAAACUUCGGCAAUGGGGGCAAACCUGACCGAGCAACGCCGCGUGAGGGGAGAAGGUUUUCGGAUCGGAAAGCUCGGUUGUAAGUCAAGAACGGGUGUGAGAGUGGAAAGUUCACACUGUGACGGUAGCUUACCAGAAAGGGACGGCUAACUACGUG
rnacentral:rRNA from 1 species